GCUUGUGAGGGAGAAUGAGCUCUGUUCACAAGUCAUUAUCAUGCAAGAAAGAACACAGGCUGUGUUUGAUAUCAGGGUACUGACGGUACCCCUGAAAUCUUCAGAGCCUGACUAA